ACUCUGAGUAGAAAAUUCUUCUUUGUUUUUUUUCUACUUGGGGAAACCCAGGUAUUUUGCCACUCUAUCAAGAAAGUUAAGGACUCUCAAGCUUUUGGAUGCUUAGAAAAUACAUCAGAGGAGGACAGAAACUCAGAUAUCUCUGCAUCCUGAAUUCAUUGGUGGAAUUGCUACUGUGCCCAGUAAAAGCAUUUCAGUCAUGCAAGGAGAGGAUGUUAAGGUAAAGGAAUGAAACCGAAGACCAGAAAGUGGUAAAAAGCAGCAGUGAAGAAACCAAAACUAAAACAAACCAGCAAAGACCAUAUUCAGCUCACAGCCUUUCAGGAACUGAAGUAGAUCAUUGGCCCAGACUCUCCACUGAAUCCGAAGAAUGCUUUGCAGGGGAUGUUCAGAGGCUUACCUGAGAAUGAGAGAAAAAGAAAUGAGCAAAUGACUCCUGAUUAUCAGUGGGAGACAGGAAGCGACCAUUUAACAUCCAAAGGAAAACUCAGAGCUUCCGGUAGCUGCCACAAUCCUUGGCUAGUGACCCCUUC
rnacentral:lncRNA from 10 species